rnacentral:rRNA from 1 species
UACGAGGGAUGCAAGCGUUAUCCGGAAUUAUUGGGCGUAAAGCGUUUGUAGGCGGGCGAGUGUGUUUAAUGUUAAAUCUUAAAGCUCAACUUUGAAAUUGCGUUAAAAACUGCUUGUCUUGAGUAUGGUAGGGGUAAAGGGAAUUCCCAGUGUAGCGGUGAAAUGCGUAGAUAUUGGGAAGAACACUAAACAGCGAAGGCACUUUACUAGGCUAAUACUGACGCUGAGAAACGAAAGGUAAGGUAGCGAAACGGAUUAGAUACCCGUGUAGUCUUACCCGUAAACUAUGGACACUAAACGGUAAAUUUUUAAUUUACUGUUAAAGCUAACGCGUUAAGUGUCCCGCCUGGGGAGUAUGCUUGCAAAAGUGAAACUCAAAGGAAUUGACGGGGGCCCGCACAAGCGGUGGAGCAUGUGGUUUAAUUCGACGGUACACGAAGAACCUUACCAGGAUUUGACAUGCUAGAUAGUUGCUUGAAAGAGUAACGUGCCGUAAGGAAUCUAGACACAGGUGGUGCAUGGCUGUCGUCAGUUCGUGUUGUGAAAUGUUGGGUUAAGUCCCGCAACGAACGCAACCCUUGUCUUUAGUUAUUUUCUAAAGAGACUGCCUGUAAUAAACAGGAGGAAGGUAAGGAUGAGGUCAAGUCAUCAUGCCCCUUAUGUCCUGGGCUACACACGUGCUACAAUGGGAAAGACAAUGAGCUGCAAAUCUGUAAAUUUAAGCAAAUCUCUUAAACUUUCUCGUAGUUCGGAUUGUGGGCUGCAACUCGCCCACAUGAAGUUGGAAUCGCUAGUAAUCGCCAGUCAGCUAUAUGGC